rnacentral:rRNA from 3 species
GAAGAGUUUGAUCAUGGCUCAGAUUGAACGCUGGCGGCAGGCCUAACACAUGCAAGUCGAACGGUAACAGGAAGCAGCUUGCUGCUUUGCUGACGAGUGGCGGACGGGUGAGUAAUGUCUGGGAAACUGCCUGAUGGAGGGGGAUAACUACUGGAAACGGUGGCUAAUACCGCAUAACGUCGCAAGACCAAAGAGGGGGACCUUCGGGCCUCUUGCCAUCAGAUGUGCCCAGAUGGGAUUAGCUUGUUGGUGAGGUAACGGCUCACCAAGGCGACGAUCCCUAGCUGGUCUGAGAGGAUGACCAGCCACACUGGAACUGAGACACGGUCCAGACUCCUACGGGAGGCAGCAGUGGGGAAUAUUGCACAAUGGGCGCAAGCCUGAUGCAGCCAUGCCGCGUGUAUGAAGAAGGCCUUCGGGUUGUAAAGUACUUUCAGCGGGGAGGAAGGUGUUGUGGUUAAUAACCGCAGCAAUUGACGUUACCCGCAGAAGAAGCACCGGCUAACUCCGUGCCAGCAGCCGCGGUAAUACGGAGGGUGCAAGCGUUAAUCGGAAUUACUGGGCGUAAAGCGCACGCAGGCGGUCUGUCAAGUCGGAUGUGAAAUCCCCGGGCUCAACCUGGGAACUGCAUUCGAAACUGGCAGGCUUGAGUCUUGUAGAGGGGGGUAGAAUUCCAGGUGUAGCGGUGAAAUGCGUAGAGAUCUGGAGGAAUACCGGUGGCGAAGGCGGCCCCCUGGACAAAGACUGACGCUCAGGUGCGAAAGCGUGGGGAGCAAACAGGAUUAGAUACCCUGGUAGUCCACGCCGUAAACGAUGUCUACUUGGAGGUUGUGCCCUUGAGGCGUGGCUUCCGGAGCUAACGCGUUAAGUAGACCGCCUGGGGAGUACGGCCGCAAGGUUAAAACUCAAAUGAAUUGACGGGGGCCCGCACAAGCGGUGGAGCAUGUGGUUUAAUUCGAUGCAACGCGAAGAACCUUACCUGGUCUUGACAUCCACGGAAGAAUUCAGAGAUGGAUUUGUGCCUUCGGGAACCGUGAGACAGGUGCUGCAUGGCUGUCGUCAGCUCGUGUUGUGAAAUGUUGGGUUAAGUCCCGCAACGAGCGCAACCCUUAUCCUUUGUUGCCAGCGGUCCGGCCGGGAACUCAAAGGAGACUGCCAGUGAUAAACUGGAGGAAGGUGGGGAUGACGUCAAGUCAUCAUGGCCCUUACGACCAGGGCUACACACGUGCUACAAUGGCGCAUACAAAGAGAAGCGACCUCGCGAGAGCAAGCGGACCUCAUAAAGUGCGUCGUAGUCCGGAUUGGAGUCUGCAACUCGACUCCAUGAAGUCGGAAUCGCUAGUAAUCGUGGAUCAGAAUGCCACGGUGAAUACGUUCCCGGGCCUUGUACACACCGCCCGUCACACCAUGGGAGUGGGUUGCAAAAGAAGUAGGUAGCUUAACCUUCGGGAGGGCGCUUACCACUUUGUGAUUCAUGACUGGGGUGAAGUCGUAACAAGGUAACCGUAGGGGAACCUGC